UACGUAGGUGGCAAGCGUUAUCCGGAAUUAUUGGGCGUAAAGAGCGCGCAGGUGGUUGAUUAAGUCUGAUGUGAAAGCCCACGGCUUAACCGUGGAGGGUCAUUGGAAACUGGUCGACUUGAGUGCAGAAGAGGGAAGUGGAAUUCCAUGUGUAGCGGUGAAAUGCGUAGAGAUAUGGAGGAACACCAGUGGCGAAGGCGGCUUCCUGGUCUGUAACUGACACUGAGGCACGAAAGCGUGGGGAGCAAACAGGAUUAGAUA
rnacentral:rRNA from 1 species